rnacentral:misc_RNA from 1 species
UCUCCGUUGGUGAACCAGCGGAGGGAUCAUUACCGAGUUUACAACUCCCAAACCCUUAUGUGAACCGUACCUAUCGUUGCUUCGGCGGGAACGCCCCGGCGCCCUGCGCCCGGAUCCAGGCGCCCGCCGGAGACCCCAAACUCUUGUCUUUUAGUGUAUUUCUGAGUGGCAUAAGCAAAUAAAUCAAAACUUUCAGCAACGGAUCUCUUGGUUCUG